UUAAGCAUACUGUUUAUAAUAAGGUUGAAUUACGUGACUUAACAAACACUUUUCAUCGCCUCUUAAUUGAUGAUGUUAAGUCACAGUACCAACUAAUCCAUUGUAGUCCAGCCCGGUUAGGAUACCCGGGGUCAAAUCCCGGCAAUGGAAAAUUCCUCAAACUGCAAAACCCUUAAACCUCAAAAGGAGUUUUUGGAAAUUAAAAAAAAAAGAAGAAAAAAACACAGAGUCAAAGAGAGAGAUGAAUGGUGCAGUAGCACCAGAUUUCUUCUACAGAGAAGCUCAACGCCUUGGCUAUGUUGCUCUCUCUGCCUUCAAGCUUUUGCAGAUGCAGAAGCAGUACAAGCUGAUAAAAGUCUGGUUCAUCAGUUCUCGACCUCGGUUGCGCCCCUGGUGCUUGGCUUCAGGUAGCUUGCCAGAGUUUGGGUCCUCUUAAAACUGGUGGGAUUGUUGUGGGCAUUGAUCUCAAGGUUUUAACAGAAGGUGAAGGACCGAAGGUUCCUCCUCGUCACUGUGAUGCAAGGGUUAAAACUGUUUGUGCUGAUGUCAUGAAGUUGCCUAAACACCAAGUUAGGGCUCUCUCUCCUCAGCAGAAACAGUUUUCUGUGAUUCUCUCGGAUAUGUGUCCCUUGGUUUCUGGAAUCACAACUAGGGAUGCAGCUUUAUCAGUUGAGUUGGGAAUGCAAGCACUUGAUUUGGCUGUUGGUAGAGCAACAUUACAUUCUCUGGAUGAUAAUGUUCAGAAGGAAAAAGAGAUGGACAGUUCAGCUUCUGAUUUAGAGAAUGAGGGUGUACUGCUAACAGGGGGCCAGCUUGUCAUAAAGCUUUUAGAGAGUGAAGAUGUGAAAGAAUUCAGCCAGAUAUGCAAACCACUGUUUAAAAAAGCAUCAUGGUUGAGGCCAAAAGCCACAAGAUCUUCAUCCAGAGAGAUUUAUCUGAUAUGUCAAGGGUUGCAGCAAGCACAAAGAUAAUUUGUUCCAUAUAAUUGGCUUCUUGCGCCAGACUCAGGCCACCUGAAAUCAACAAUAGUUGGGCAAAAUAGUUUACAGGGAAAAACACAAUGAGGCCAUGACUAUUGCCAAUGUAGGAAAAUAUUCAAUUCUUUGCAACCUGCAAUGUAUUUUAUGAGCUUCAUUUUUUACUUUUACUUACUGUGUACUCUAGGAUGUAGUAAGCCUGGUGUUUGUAUUUUCAAGUUGGAAACUGAAAUUUCAUUAAUUGAUAAACAAGUCAUUGUGACCUGUUUAAGAAU